rnacentral:rRNA from 1 species
ACUCUUAAUUGGGGCCGGGAAUGAACGAACAUACGGAAAAGAGCUGUCCUUUUAAUAUAGGCGAAUUUGGUGAGCAAGUGCAAAUACUUGUAUAUUUAAAUUAGACGAGAAGACCCUUGAAGCUUUAGAAAAUUCUUUUGUUGGGGCGACAGAACUGCAUUAAACCAGUUUGCUAAUACCCGAAGGCUAGCAUGUGCGUUGAAGCUACUCGAGGGAUAACAGCAUAAUUUUUAAAAGUUUGUGACCUCGAUGUUGGACUAGGUACCUUAAGNCCCAGAAGGACUUAAAGGUUGCUCUGUUCGAGCAAUCUCACCUACA